UCAAAGCCAAAUAUUAUGGGGAGUCUUCUUUCCCCUGUGGGAUCCGUGGUGUGAAUCUGUUUCAGUCCCGUUUCUGCACCUGUGGUGUUCCUCCCUCCAGUGGACAGUGUGACGGUUCCCUUUGGCUCUGGACUGUAUCUCUGUCCUCACUACCUUCUUUGAUGUGGCCUCUUCUCUACAUUUAGCUGUGGGGAGUUCUGUCAGUCUUCAGGUUCUUUUCUGUGUUUUUUUAUACUCAUGUGAAUGUUACCUGGUUACAUCUGUGGGAUGAAGUGAGCUUAGGAUCCUCCUACUCUACCAUCUUCUCCAGAAGCCUGGAUGGCUUUUUUAGAAAGGCUAGUUUAGAAAGUUAAUCAGGUUCCUUUCUACAGUUGAACACUGCCCCCCCCCCCCCCCCGCUAUUUAUGGAGGGAGGAAGAGGUCAUGUAACUAACCAGUUAUACCAAUUAUGUUUAUUAGGUGUGUUUGAUAAAUGAACUUUACUGUCUAGCAACUUGAGGGCUUUCCUGUUGGCACUUGCAGGUUCCCUGAGACUUCUGAUUAAACCUUAGAAAUAAAUGUAAUUUGUUUAUUUUUGGUAUCUAAAGGUACCCCUGCCUUGGAGCUCUGAAACAUCCAUGCUCUUGGUGAAUGCUUUUGACAAGACUUCAGUGUCUUCCGGUCACUUGCCCAGUUAUUCCUUCUGGUGGGAAAAAGACUUCUUAAAGCACACAAAAAGAAGACAUCCCAAAUGAUGACAGAGAGGAAGAUUAUUGGUGUAGUCCACACAGAAGUUCUGUACUACUUCCUAAUGUAUGAUCUUGGGCAAGUCAUCAGAAUGUUCUGAACUUAAGUUUAGUACCCAGAAAAGCACUACAAUGUUUACCCCACAAGACUGUAUAGUUAAAUGAAGACUUUGACCACUGAUGCAAAUAUGUACUGCAAUAUUUAGGUGUCCUGAAGAAAAUAAAAUUUAAUUUUGUGUGCAUUGAGAAGCCACCUGAACAUGAGAUCCCAUCUCUAUUGUAAGCCUGUGGACAAGUGAUCUAGUAUCUUUAAGGGAUGAUCUCAUGCUGUUUUGACAGGUGGGCUUAGGAUGGCACACCAUAACUAUGGAGGAAUUACUCGAUUAAAAGAAGGGGAAAAAUAGUCUGCUAGCAACUAUUUGUAUUAACACAAAUGAAGGCACAAAUAGUAGGACUCCAGAGGCG